CCGUCGUCGUCGUCGUGAUCGGCGGGAGGCUAUGAAACCGAGCGAGACCGAACAUAGUCGAUGGAGGUCGGAAACGCACGAACCUCACGGCUCGAGCGACCGAACUAGCGACACGAUCAAGCAGUGCGGUGCCGACUCUUGCUGCCGCGGCUUCGACUUCUGUGUUAUUCGUGGACGAGUGUUUACGCGACAGAGGACUUCUCGUCGAAACGAACACGGAGCAAGGCGUGUACGAUAGAGAAUUAGGAGGGAGAGGAUUAAAGAGAAUACAGGGCAGAGUUGGGCACCGAAGAAAAACGAUCCAAACGGUGAUCGAACAAAGACGGCGAAGAGGACGAGGAGAAGGCGCGAUCGUCGUAGUGUCGAGCACAAUAUCGAGAGAGGUUUAGAAGCGAUACGCGUCGUCGUGUUAUCGAAUACGAAAUAACUCGAUUCGUCGUCCGGUUGGAGAAACGACUGAACCGUUCGACGCUCUCGUAUUCGGGGAAAUAUAGGAAAAGACGGAAGAGGGAGAAGGAGGGAGAUAGAGAUAGAGAGAGAGAGAGAAGGAGAAGAGAGAGAGAGCGAGAGAGAGGAGAGAGAAAGGCGGAAGGCAGAGAAAAAAAGAGAAAACAUCGUGCCGUCUUUAUCGUUCGGGGCGUGGGUGCAACGCGAAUGCGAAUAAUCCCUCGGACGAAACCGCUUUACCGUGAGCGAACGUGACGACCAGGAGCGAGGAUAUAGACGAGGGAGCAAGAAAAUAAGAGAGACGACGAGUGGUUGGGAACGUGGACGUCGGUUGCGAGAGAGGAUUUGGAAGAGAAUCAGCGGGGAGGCCACUGGAGAGAUCGGGAUCGAGAACGGGGGACACGGAAGAGGAGAAACUGGAAAAAGAAAGUUUUCGAUCGAGAGGAAUAAUCGGAUUCGGCGAGCGAUCGUUGCCGAAAUAGUGGUCACGUGUGACCGCGUGCGGGUGAAAACCGUGAAAGACACUCUCGCGCGGACUCUCGAAAAGGAGGAGGCAGGGUAUCGCGGUCUCGAGCCGAAAGUAGCGAGACAGCCGAACACCGUGGGUCCGGCUAUCGUCCGAGCUCUGCCUCUCUGUUCCUCCUUUUCGCGUCUCCGCGGGUUUGGAUUCGUCGAGGAGUCGAGGAGCAGAGGAAGAAGAAGAAAAAGAGGAGGAGGAGGAGGAGGAGAAGGAAGAGUUCCGACGGAGGAUCGAGGCGCUCCCGAGACCGGCCGUCGGAUAUCCUGGAGGACGAUGACGACGGUGGAAAGGAAGAUCGCGAGCGGUAAUCGGAGGACGAGCAGCACUACGAGGGGACUCGAUUGAACCUUGAUCGAAUCCGCUCGAUUCGCGGCGAUCGUCGUCGUCUCGUCGUCGUCGUCGUCGGCGACCGACCGAGGUUACCGUCGGUCUCGUCGUCGCGACGGUACGACAGAUCACGUUUCACGUUCGGGUGACAGUGUUCCACAGUGAGUGUUGUUGGUGCGAGCGUUUUUCAGUGACGCGAGAUCGCGCGCGUUUCUUCGUCUCGCGCUAACCUACCGACGGCUCGCGUUCUCUCCGCGAAGCCGUCGGGAAUAGUGGACUUGCCUGCUUACCCUGCUACCUCUUCACUCUCGUCCGUCUGUUCCGAUCAUUCUCUCCCGGGAAUUCCCUGUUUUCAAGCCGUAUUGUUGGGAAAGUGUACAAAAGGGUGGCGAAUCUAUCUGUCGGGAGCGAAGGUGUGACAAGUCUAAUCGAGGGAUAUAACGAUCAGCGAGGAUGCAGGUGGCAACGCUGUUUCGGGAGAGCGCGAAUCUGCUGGGUGCCUCUAGCCUGGAUCCCCCGCAGACUCACCAUCACCAGGCUAUGCACCCGCAGCA